rnacentral:rRNA from 1 species
GUAGGGUGCAAGCGUUAAUCGGAAUUACUGGGCGUAAAGCGUGCGCAGGCGGUUUUGUAAGUCUGAUGUGAAAUCCCCGGGCUCAACCUGGGAACUGCAUUGGAGACUGCAAGGCUAGAGUGUGUCAGAGGGGGGUAGAAUUCCACGUGUAGCAGUGAAAUGCGUAGAGAUGUGGAGGAAUACCGAUGGCGAAGGCAGCCCCCUGGGAUAACACUGACGCUCAUGCACGAAAGCGUGGGGAGCAAACAGGAUUAGAUACCCUGGUAGUCCACGCCCUAAACGAUGUCUACUAGUUGUCGGGACUUAAUUGUCUUGGUAACGCAGCUAACGCGUGAAGUAGACCGCCUGGGGAGU